AUGGUCCUUCGAGGUGCCGCCGCCGCCGCCCGACCUGCGCCUUCGCGCCACUUCGCGCCCUCGGGCGAGGCCGAGGGGGUGGGGACGACUACCGCAGCGCCGCCGGGGCUCGCGCUCCUCCGCGAAGCUCUCCUCGCGGGGCGGGCCGGCCGGCCGCACCCCCGGCCUGGGGCCUCCGGUCGUAGUAAAGCGCAGGCGGGCGGGGAGGCGGGAGCAGGAGCCCGCGGCCGGCCAGCCGAAGAUGGUGGCGGCUACUCCUCCUGUCAUACACGUGGACCUAACUGCACCAGUAGCUUUUCUGAGAAUACUUGCUGAAAAGGAAGUUUUCUGGAAUGGUAUUUGCUAAGUGGAAGCCAGAAGAGGAGGAAAAUGUUUUGCCACGUGGAUGUGAAGAUUUCCUCUAAAAGAAUAGUCAAGGAGAGCCUCUGGAGAAGAGCAUGCGGUCUGGAUUUGGAAGCCUCAGUUUGAUUUCUGGCUUUGUCACUUACCUUAGGCAUUCAAUAUAGGUGGCUUCCAGACAAUCUUUCCAUACUUGGUGGUUAGAGCAGAAGAGAUUCAUGAAGAGCACUGCCCUUUGAAACAAAAUCUCAUAUUCAGAAAACUGAUGCCAAACACCAAGUAGCAUGAUUUCACUCUGAAGCAGUGUUUCAGCCAUUGCCCUGGAAUGGUUUUAAAGCAAGUGAUAUACUGCUGAAAGUGCUGCCUUUGAUAUUAAAUGUUCAUUAAAAAUCUUCACUAAGACAUAAA
rnacentral:lncRNA from 1 species